rnacentral:lncRNA from 1 species
CAAAGAAACAGCCAACCAAAAAAGUUUAUUUAUCACGCAUUCUUAAAAUAAGCCAGUUUUCACUUUCGAUUACAUAUAGACCCCUAAUAAGAAGUUUCCGUGAAGUUAUUGGCGUAGUUCUACGCUUCGUAGAAUUGUCUGUGAAGGUUAAGUGUCGUGUGUAUCACGCGACGCUUCGGUACGUGAUGGAUCGUGCAAGUUUACACUUCUAAAUAAUCGCGGUCGAUUACGUCAUAGCUCUGUGAUACGAAGAGGAUGGCUACUUUCUUGUUGUCAUUUCCGCAUAAAAUCAAUGCCAGGAAUUUGUCUUCAACGCCGCCAAACCACAAUUGUUCAGUUUUAAAGACUCUUUCCAUGUGGCUGAUCUAAAGUCAAUAGCUGUUUGACAAUUUAUUUUAAAAGCGGCCAUUUAUAACCGACUAGGCCCUUAUCAAUGCCAGACGUUAUAAGAGUCAACAGGAAACUUUUUGAAAGAUUUGAAAUUCCUGAACCCCUUUCAUAUCGGGUCGUACAAGAUGGUUAGAUGAAGUACAGUACACUUUGUGGUUACACAAGCACGUGUUUAGAAAUUUCAUAAGAAAAGAAACAUAAAAGUUAAAGGAUGUUUGGACAGCUUUCUCAAAACAAUGCUAUAAAAAGCCCGUUGGAUUCCCAAAAAAGAACCACGUUGAUGCAAUACACUCAGUUAUAGAUCGGCCAGGUGAGGUCGGGAUAAUUUGUGACUAUAUCAUUUGUUUGAAAGAAAAUCAAACGCUUCUUCGAAUUUUUAAUGACAAACUAAAAAAGGAUUUUUGGAACGUGACUAGUACGGAAGCCAUUUGCCAGACAAUUUUUUUUAACUCGUUCGCCGGAUCAGGAAAACUGCGUCCAAGUUUCUAUUAGAAUUACUUAGUGGCAAAAAGUGAUGCGGUGCAAGUUCUCUUUAUUAUGCUGAUAUAAUAUACGCUCAGAAAGUUACAGUAAGUUGAAGUACAACAAGAACAAGCGCGGAAGCAAGACUGUGGCAGUGAACGUGAUCUUGAACAUGAUCAAAUUUGCGAGGCCUAACGAUUAUUUGAAUCACUUAGUAGAAACUGGCCGUGACGUGUCCUCGCUCAAUAUUAAUGUUACAAGCUGAGGCACAUUGUUUGUUUCAGGAGAAAAAUUACCAUCCAUAUCUGUCCAAUGUUUAGCUGGCGUUCAAAAUCAAUCUUCCCUUUUAAGAAUAGAAUACAGAGCAUAACUGAAUUUACUGGUCAUCCACCCACUGUCUGAUGAUAAUAAUGCAAAUUAUAUAUGCUUAGUUUAACGUGACUAAACCAGCCAUCUUUCGAGAGCGACGCAUUGGGUUGUCUUCUAGCUGUAUUUAAUAUACGAUACGAUCAAAAACACUACCCAGUAAUUUUUCUUGCAUAUAGUAUCAUUGAUUUUCGGAUGAGUCACGAGUCCAGUUCUUUCCUGUGCUAUGGGGGGUUUUCUCCGGGUUUAUAUGUUCCUCCCUCCUCAAAAAGUCAGCCUCUAAAUUUCAAUUUGAUCAUGGAACGAGGGCCACAUGUUUGUUAGCCAUAUGCAUGCACUGGUAUGACUUACAUCGUAAAACAAGGAAAAUACGGUACUGCAAUGCGUUUUCGCUCACUCGCUCUUUGUGCAUGGCCGUGAGUCAAGUAGUUGGUGCAUGGAAACAGAUUGGCGAUUAAAGCAGCAUUAGCUGUGUAUUUCAGUCCACUAGCUUCCCAGCGUCUUGCUGUCUUCCCUUCUUUGUACGGCCGCUAAUAUUUGACGAAAUUAAGUCAGUUUUAUUAAUGGAAAGAAUGGCGUCAGUUAAGUGUAUCUUGAAUUAAAAUGUGUACGUAAACAUAUUUCUAGCUUGUGAGGUGGAGUCAUAUAUAUUGUUUGUCUGCCGGGACAUAGGAACCUACUCAUCAUGACUCCGCUCGCGUGCGUUUUCUUGUCCUAGAUGCGUCACAAAAGAAAACUAAGCAACAAUUCCGUAGUUCCCGAUGCGUAACAGAAUACAACUGUUGUACAUCAAAAUAAUUGCCUGUUACAAACUGUAAACAAUUUUUGAAGCAUGUGUCGAACAAGAAUUUCAAUGUUAUCAUAUUCAUGUUUUUGUUUUUUUAAAUUGUAAAUGAAAAAUAUUGGUUGCUUAGCCAGCAGGAUGACGCAAUAUUUCAAGAAAAACUAUCUGAUCUGAAGUGCUUUGUUUGUUCUUGAAUCAAAAGUAAUGAUUUUGAUACUACAUGUAAGGAAGACUAAAUAAAUGAGGGAUGACCUGUGUGCUGGAAGUGAAUCAUCGGCACUAAUAUGAGUGAAGUCUCCUUCAGUGGUGUUGGACCACAAGCAAGCAAAGUCUACCGACUCACACCAGUAACUCAGUACCAGUCAGGUAAUAACUAAACGGAGCAUGGUGAUUAAGAUAUGGGGACACGAAAGAAUGAAAAGAAGAAAAGGAAAAAAGAAAAGAAAACAGGAAAACAGGAAAUAAAAUUAUUGUCUACAGUCAAGGUGACGCGCAAAAUCAUAAAGUCAAAUUUUGUGCAAAUUAAACGAAUCUCUCAACGAAUUCAAUUAUAGAAGAAUAGAGAAAAUGAAAAAUGAAAAGACAGGAAAUAAAACUCUUCAGUCUACAGUAGAGGACACGCGAAAUUAAGAUAUGAAGUUUUGGACAAAUUCGACAAAUCUUUCAAUGAACUCAAUCAAAGAAUAAAGAAACUGAAAAAUUCAUGAAAGGAAAGGAAAUAAAGUUUUUGUGUAUAGUAGAUGACGCGCAUAA